CAUGCAGGCGGUUAGACAAGUCAGAUGUGAAAUCCCCGCGCUUAACGUGGGCAUUGCCUUUGAAACUAUGUAGCUAGAGUUCUGUAGAGGGGGGUAGAAUUCCAGGUGUAGCGGUGAAAUGCGUAGAGAUUUGGAGGAACACCAGUGGCGAAGGCGACUGUCUGGUCUGUAACUGACACUGAGGCGCGAAAGCGUGGGGAGCAAACAGGAUUAGAUACCCCGGUA
rnacentral:rRNA from 1 species